GUAACACGUAGUCAACCUGCCCUGGAGACAUGGACAACCCCGGGAAACUGGGAUUAAUCCGUGAUAGGUCAUCUCAUCUGGAAGGAGAGAUGGCUUAAAGGGAUGCGCGGGCUUCUUCUGCGUAUUUGCUCCAGGAUGGGACUGCGUCCGAUCAGGCUGUUGGCGGGGUAAUGGCCCACCAAGCCAGUAACCGGUACGGGCCUUGAGAGAGGUGGCCCGGAGAUGGACACUGAGAGAAGGGUCCAGGUCCUACGGGGCGCAGCAGGCGCGAAACCUUCGCAAUGCGCGCAAGCGUGACGAGGUUAAUCCGAGUGAUUUCCGCUGAGGAGACCUUUUGUCUGCUGUAAAUAGGCAGGCGAAUAAAGGGAGGGGCAGCCUGGUGUCAGCCGCCGGCGGUAAUACCAGCUCCUCGAGUGGUCGGGGCGAUUAUUGGGGCUAAAGCAUCCGUAGNCGGUUCCGUAAGUUCUCUGGUUAAUCCCAACGGCCCAACGGUUGAACUGCAAAAGAAACCGCCGGAACU
rnacentral:rRNA from 1 species